CCUACGGGAGGCAGCAGUAGGGAAUAUUGCUCAAUGGGGGAAACCCUGAAGCAGCAACGCCGCGUGGAGGAUGAAGGUUUUCGGAUUGUAAACCCCUUUUGUUAGAGAAGAUAAUGACGGUAUCUAACGAAUAAGCACCGGCCAACUUCGUGCCAGCAGCCGUGGUAAUACGGAGGGUGCCAGCGUUACUCGGAAUCACUGGGCGUAAAGAGCGCGUAGGCGGGAUAGCAAGUCAGAUGUGAAAUCCUGUGGCUUAACCAUAGAACUGCAGUUGAAACUGUUAUUCUAGAGUUUGGGAGAGGUAGGUGGAAUGCUUGGUGUAGCGGUGAAAUCCGUAGAGAUCAAGAGGAAUACUCAUUGCGAAGGCGGCCUGCUAGAACAUAACUGACGCUGAUGCACGAAAGCGUGGGGAGCAAACAGGAUUAGAUACCCCAGUAGUC
rnacentral:rRNA from 1 species